GGCUCAGGGGCUGCGGGGCAGGAGCUGGGGGUUGCGGUGCAGCAGCUUUGGGUGCAGAGUCGGCCUGCCUGGGCGGGCAGGGGCUGCGGCCCCGCAGACUGGACGCUGUGGUGCGGCACCGUGUGUGAGCGUAGGGGGAGCGAGAGCCCAGGCCCUGGUGCGGGGAGGCCUGUCCUGGUGGCUGUGCUGGAGCCCGUGGCAGCCGUGGCCCUUCCCUUGGCAGUCCUGCUACAGCCUGAGAUGUACAAGACAGUUAAUCUUCGUAUUGUUCUGCUUGGAACUGAGACGUGGACAGAAGUGGACAUUUACUCAUUGGCUGGACCAUGCUUUUCACUUCUUUACUCCAUGGACUAGAUAGUUCCUUAAACCCUGCAUACACUUUGACUGUGCACAAUUACUCCUGUAAGAGGCAGACACUAUCGAGGCACACUAGGACUGGUGACACAAGGAACUGUAUACAACACAGACGCCUCAACAUCUAUUAUUAGGAUCGGCACUUCAGGAACAACUCGUUCUGUUCUCUCCUUUGAUCUGGGGGAUCGUAACAGGUUCCUGCCAGUGUCCCGUCCUGUGUGACACACGUUCGAGGUCCUGCUGUUGGGAGCCAUCACUUCUUGUGAACCGAGGCACUGCUCUCAGUGCCUCCCUUCUGCUCUGGUACCCACUUUGUGCUUCAACCAACUGGUCAUGUUAAAAGUUUAGUCCAAUGACUCGUCCCAUAAAUUUCAAUAAUACCUCCCCUGCAUCUCCUUUUCUACAGCCUAACCACUCUCAGUUGUUUAACCUUUUCCCAACAGCUUGAAUUUCAACUGCUACAGUAGGUUGGGGCAGAUGGUUGUCUGACUCCAUUGUCUCAUUACUUGAGACCUGCAAGCAAACUUCAGGAUCCCAUCCCGACUUGAAGUUCCUACUUAGGAGCUUAUGUAAGGAAUCAGCCUCUUCCAAGGAAAGCUCUUCCUUGGCACUCCCCAGAAAGUUUUGUUUGGUCUCUAACCUGAUGGACCCCUACAGCCAACCCUGGCAUGGGUUUCCAAGCGGUGUUGAGACCCUGCCUCCUUGUUGGCCUUCGUGCAUUAGACAACCUGUCUGCUCCCACAGCUGUGACUGUGACCCACACUCCUAGAGACCAGGUAACCCCUGCUGCCCUUUCUGAACCGUUCUCAUGCAUACACAGAUACCUAUAAACCAAUUCCCAAAAAGCAAACCUUUAAAUGCCAUUUUCUAAGCCAACAGGGGAGAGGGAGGAGUGCCAUGUCCCAGCCAGCACAGCAGACUGCUUCCCUUCAGUUUUUCCUGUGCCGUUGCCAUUCCCUUGUUCUCCCUGGGACUCUUGCUUUCCUCCUCCUGCUCCCUCCAUGCCUCUUCAGUGACCUUCAGGUGCAGUGUGCCACAUCGGCAGCAAAACUUAAAAGACUAAUAUCAACUCACCCUGCUCUCCUAGGUAUCCCACUUAUGAACCUAUCUAUAGCAAAGGGUACUCACAUUGAGCCCCUCAAAAUCUUCCCCACCAGGACGCUAGAUCCUUUCGAGGGAGCCGGGGGUACCACACCUAUCAGCACCGUUAGGUGGGCAAAUCUGAUUCGCAAGAUGCACCCAGAGAUUUCCAACAGAAAUCCAGAGUUGUGGUUUUUUUGAGUUCUUUGCAACAGAAAACUGCUGUUGUUUUUCAGUAGUUAAAAAAGAGUAAAAAUGAAGAGCUGAUGUUUUCUUAGGGGUUCCUCCAAUCGAUCCAGGUUGAGAACCACUGCACUAGCUAUAUCCAGUUCAAUUUGUUACCUCUGUAGUGAGCAUUUCUACCACUGCUGGAGCAGGGUCUGGGCUAGAUGGACCAUUGGUCUGACCCAGUACGGCACAUCUUUUGUUCUUAUGCCCCUUUCAAGUGCCUGAUUUGGGAGCUACUUAAUUACUUCCAGUAUGUUUAUUUUUUGGUUGCUAAUGGCAAGCCCCUUCCCCAUUUUAUAUGCACACCUCAGCUCCCUACUCUUGCCCCACAAACUUCCUCCCCUCCCGAGUACUGCAUGCAUGUGAUGUCAAUGUGUUAAUGCAUGAGGGAAUGUAAUCAUGAACUACCAGGGCAGAGGAAGAUCUUAUGUGAAGAGAAAUGGUAUAACAAAUAAAGUGAACAAAUGAAAAUAUA